UGAAAUGUUGCUAAUUAAAUUAAACCAUAUAAAACAGAUUUCGCUUGCUCUCUGAUUGGCAUACAUAUAGUGCUAGUGUGUGUGGAUAUAAAUUGUCUGAUUGGCAUACAUAUAAAUUGUCGCCUGCUAAAUCACGGGUGUGUGUUGUCUGAUUGGCAUACAUAUAUGCUAGUGUUUGUUACAUUCCGUUCGUAGAACGGUGUACGUACGGCUUGUUGCCAAGCAGCUGAGGACGUAUGUACGGCUUGUUGCCAAGCAGCACAUACUGUUAUCCUGAGUUAUUCGAACCGGACCGGACCGGUGGUUCGACCGGUAAAAUACCGAACCGGAGCCUUCACCGGUCCGGUUCACCUUAGAGGAUCGGAAUGCAAUCGAACCGGUGAAAACCGGUUGAACCGGCCGGUUUUCCGGUCAAACCAGUGAACCGGGCGGUUUCAUGCGAACCGGUGAUGUUUUGAGUUUUUCCAAAGUUACCCCUCUGGAUGUUCAGAACGACAUGGUCUACUCAGGGGUAUUCAUGGAAAUUGCAUCUUUAGGGCUUCUUUUGGCGCUGGGCGGCUUGGGGAGGGAAAUGUCUGUUGUUUGUGUUCGUGAUUGUCUUUUUAGCAUGAACUUGUUUGGAACUUUGUUACCAGUUUAUCACGGCAUCAUGCAUGUUGUUAUUUUUUGUAUUAAAGAACCUAUGAGGUUGUGUUGCUGCCUUGCUAGCCAUGAGCCCGUGACUGUUUUUAUCAACUAUGAAUAUGAAAUUAUGAACUAUGUGUUAAGCUGAACCAAG
rnacentral:lncRNA from 1 species